GGCGGCCUUAGCGCGGUGGUCCCACCUGACCCCAUGCCGAACUCAGAAGUGAAACGCCGUAGCGCCGAUGGUAGUGUGGGRUCUCCCCAUGCGAGAGUAGGGAACUGCCAGGY
rnacentral:rRNA from 1 species